GCGAACGCUGGCGGCAGGCCUAACACAUGCAAGUCGAACGAACUCUUCGGAGUUAGUGGCGGACGGGUGAGUCACACGUGGGAACGUGCCUUUUGGUUCGGAAUAACUCAGGGAAACUUGUGCUAAUACCGAAUGUGCCCUUCGGGGGAAAGAUUUAUCGCCAUUAGAGCGGCCCGCGUCUGAUUAGCUAGUUGGUGAGGUAACGGCUCACCAAGGCGACGAUCAGUAGCUGGUCUGAGAGGAUGACCAGCCACACUGGGACUGAGACACGGCCCAGACUCCUACGGGAGGCAGCAGUGGGGAAUCUUGCGCAAUGGGCGAAAGCCUGACGCAGCCAUGCCGCGUGAAUGAUGAAGGUCUUAGGAUUGUAAAAUUCUUUCACCGGGGACGAUAAUGACGGUACCCGGAGAAGAAGCCCCGGCUAACUUCGUG
rnacentral:rRNA from 1 species